CUUAAAUCUGCUGGGGACUAAUAUGGAGGCGCCAAAGGGAUUUCAAAAAAAUAAGAUUUAUAUUGUGGCUCAGAAGCAUCCACUAUGGUCAAACCUGACUCAUUCUUCUUCUUUCUGUGAAAAGAAGCUUACAGUGAAUGUGGACCCAAGUGACAAACAAGACUUGACAGAUCAUCAGUCUGUACCCUGAAUAGAUUUUUUUUCCGUAUGAUAAUCCUGCAAAGUCUAGUGCAAGCCUGGUGUCCUGGUGUUAGAGGGACAGAAAUGUUAGAAUUGAGGGAAAAACAAAUCUGUCGUUGUUGAAGGAACAUCACUAGGAUCUCAAACCCAGAACCCACAGCUUGGGGAGGAGACGAUAGGAAUUUUAAAAUAACUCGCUGAAUAUUUUUAAAAGGAUUUUAGGAGUAAAAACUUAGAGUAGGUGUGUGGCCAUUCUACAUUUAGCCUAAAAAUUCGUAAAGAAAUAGGAAAAAGUGAAUCAUAGAAAGAAGCCAGAAGAAAUUGAUCUCAAAUUCAUCUCUAGGAUCACCUGAGGACCAGUGUCAUAGACAUCUUCCUUAUUUAAAUCGUCCUGGAGAGCAAGUCACACAAACUCCUUCAGUUGCUCCCUGCAAUAUUGAGCGACUAUUACUGUCAGAAAGUUCUUCCUUAUGUGUAACCUCAUGUCUCAUGGUGCGUGUUAAAAACCAUUCUCUCUUGCAUAGUUUUCACUGGAGAUAAAAUCAGCUAGAUCCCAACCUCCAUGGGAUAAGGAGAAAGAACUGAAGAGAAAACAAAGUUUAAAUGAUGUUGCGAGUACAUUUCGAUUAAGUGUGAACUUACUCAAAGCAUUCUUGGUAACAUCCUUGAUGAUGGAUUUAGACCAUAGGAUUUGCUAUGUCUCAAGACAGAGCUGGGUGUCUGACCACCACUUCACGGACUUGUGUAUAAGCCAGCAACCUCAAAGGCUGUGCAGUAAGUGAUACCUUCACAGAAUCCAUUCAGUCAAUGUGAACUUUUAUGUAUUUAAUACCAUUCAAAAAACAAAAAGCCAUUCAAAUAACGAAAUGAGAAUGUUUAAUUGGAAACAUGCAAUUAUUCUCAUGCUCAAUCCCUAUUAUAUAAAAGAAGCAGGGAGUAAGAUGUGCUAAGAGGGUGGGCUUGGGGUUUGUCAAAGUCUUGAACUUUUUUUAACAUAGGCGAUAUCAUAAAUAAAGGGGAAAAAAAGAAAACAGUCGCGUGCAGCAGUUGGGUCCGGGUUCUGGAAUGGCCUUGUCUGUAUGCUAACCCUGCAUGUGGAUAAGUGCUUUGCAUCUGCUGCCAUCUCACCAGCACAUUCAGAAGAGGAACAGCACUGUCUGCAGAGUGUUUCAGUUCCCGCAGAAAACACCACAUAAAUAGACGAUGGAGAGGCCUCCAUGGCAAUGAAUGCCGGCAGGCUCAAGGAGCUGAGAGCAGACUCUGCUGACAACCAGCCAGAAGAUGGGAGCCUCUGUCUUAGGACUGCAAGGAACUGAAUUCGGCCAACUGACCAGGAAGAAAAUUCUUCUCCAGAGCCUCUAGAUGAGGACGCAGGCUGGCCAGCUUGGUGAUCUUAGGCUUGUGAUACUCUGAACGGAGAACCCAGUCGCAUUGUGCUGAACUUCCGAAAUACAGAACUGUGGCAUAAUAAACGGGUAUUGUUUUAAGGGGCCAAAUUUAUGGUAAUUUGUUGUAUAGCAAUAGAAAACUAAUA